rfam:Triticum urartu cultivar G1812 contig267512, whole genome shotgun sequence.
AAGGUACUACCUCCGUUCGAAAAAACUUGUCCCUCAAAUGGAUGUAUCUAGCACCAAGUUAGUGCUAGAUACAUCCAUUUGAGGAACAAGCUUGAGACAAGCUUUUCCGGACGGAGGGAGUAGUAU